UUUACGCUUUGUUAUCAUCUUUUUAUUUUUAAGGUAUGGUUUUCAAGAGCUCUAAUAUUUGUAAUGUAUGCAUGAAAUCAUAUGGCAAGAGAACCUAAAUCGUUUUGGAACUAUAUGAACUCUAAAAGAAACAGUAGAGACUACAUGAGGGAAAGACAGCAGUAUGUAGAUUAUGAAGAGCACAGAUUGAAUCCAGCAGUGACAUGGGCCAUUUGUUCAAUAGAAUAUCUUGGUUAUAUGGAGAUUGGCUGAGAAAGCAAGGUGUAUGCUACAAGGUGCAGGUUUCUGCAAAAUAUAUUAGGGAGCUGAUACAGGCAGCCAGAAUGAGUCUGCUGGGUCGCCGGCGCCGGACGCGCGACGCGCGCCGCGGGCGUCUGACGUCUUCGUGUCUCUCGCCAGUUGCAGGGGAAGAUGCGAAUAGUUAUAAAGGCGUGCAUGACGUCUCUAAAAAAUGAUAGAUAUAAUACUAAUAUUGUUGCCCGAGGUAUUACUCAAGUUCACGGGGUAGAUUACAGGUGUAGUGCAUAAUCGUAGAUCAAAAUUAGUACAUUACGAUAUACUCGUAUAAGGAGUGUACCGAAAAAAAACUGUAAACUUCAAAUGAAAAAAAAACUGAUGCAGUUGAGAACAAAUUAAGGUUUUUAGAAUAACUACAAUAAAAAGCGACUUUUAAUUUAGAUAAUUGUCACUUUUUUUAUUUGUUCUGUAGGAGUGAUAGGCAGCUUGUUCCUAGCGCAUUCAGUGGCAGCUUUUGACGGACCCGUUUUCCAUAUUUGCCUGCAUCACCCCGUCACCUGCUGGAAUUGUUAAUGUUUAUUGGCUAUUUCAUUCUUCUCUUUUAAUACACUUUUGAUUUGAGCCCAAUAAUAGUUGAUAGAACGGCACUGCAGGACGUUUGGAGCUCGUACUCUAUUCUAUGUCAACUGCCAAAUGCGAUUUUUGUAGGAAGGAAAUUGUAUGAUUUUCGAUUUGGCCUAGAAUGAUUAUUAUUCCAAGAUUAAUAAUUCUGGUUUUACGCUGUUCGACUUUACACCGGCAAAUAAAAGAGAUGCCUAAAAAUAUUAAUCAACAUCUCCAAAAUAAUCAGUUUCUAAAAAUGCAACAUUUUAAAACAUAAAUUUAAGAAAGAGAUCAACAUUUAAACACACUUUUAGUGCUUUAUAGGUUUCUAGAACAUAUAAGUCAUUAAGUUACAUUCUUAUUUUGGUAAAAAAAUAGCAAAAACGUCUCAGAAAAAAUUUAAAUAAUCAUGUCCAAAAAUUGCCAAUUUUUGAGUUUAUUACUAAUCUACUCAAACUUUAAAACUGAAAAAAAAAUACUUAAAAACAUAUUUUUUGUGCUUUUAACCUAGGUAUUAGAUACUUGCAACAUAAUCAUUCUUACUCUGUCAAUAAGAAAUUUAUACCUCUAAUUAAUUUUGAACCUACGAAAGUCUGACAUCUUAUUUUCACAUUUAUAAGCGAAUUUGUUAAUUAAUUGUACUUAAUGUUAAGUUUGUGUUAAAUGUAUUACUGUAAAGUUGUCCAUUAGGUGAAAUAUAUGUGAAAGUCGCUUCUAACCUAACAGAAUACGCAAACGUGGAGUCACGGGACCGGCUUAGCCUAGUGUGACCCACAAAAUUUAUGUAAUUGUAUCUGAUUUUUAAAAAUAAAAUUUUACUUUACAAUCUGUACCUGUUAUAUACCUUUUUAGGGUUCCGUAGUCAACUAGGAACCCUUAUAGUAUCGCCAUGUCCGUCUGUCUGUCUGCACCGGAAAGCUACCUAUGUUUUUAUAAUAAUUAUCUGGUGCUUUAUUUCAUGCAUGGUGUGAAAUAAUUUAUUUUAAAUACAGUCAAAUUACGGGCAUCUUACCAGUCUACCAUAGGGCAAAUCUGAAAUGGGUCAAGGUCGGUGCAGUGACAAAAAAAAAAACAUUUUACCUCCUUUUCUACAUAAUUAGGCGUAGUUCGCUGUCUUUUGUAUGUUUCGAGUUUGCAAUAUUCUUACCCCCGGAGUUACACACAAUGUUUUUCAUCACACUUGCGAAGAAAAAAAACAAAAUUUUAAGCGAAAUAAUUCUUCGUGACAUAUAUCAUACAUUCGUCCGAUUUCUUGGAAGGUGAGGCAUCGAAGGCACAGACCUAUUCGGCAUUCAGCCACGAUUGAAAAUUAAGUAAAAAUAUUUUAAUCGGAUGUUAAAAUAAUCAAAUUAAAUAAUUUUAAACAUAAACAAAAAUUAAAUUAUAAACGUCAGUAUUUUAAAAGUAAAACUCAUUUAUGCUACUUGGUUUGUAUGAAUAAGUGACAUAAUUAAAGAAAAAGCUAUAACUCCCUAGGGAGUUAUAGCUUUUUUUUCACAAUCCAUAAAUCCCGCGGCAACAAAGUAGGCCUUUGUCCUUCAGCACACCUGCAUGAAAUAAGAUCUUUUUCGAGCAAGUGUGAUGAAAAGAUUAUUGUUGA